UCUCCCUCUCUCCCACUUUCCUUUCUCUCCCUCUCUUUCUCUUUCCCUAUCUCCUGCUAUGAUGUGAGCUACCGUGCCUUCAUGUUUUCUUUGUUAUGAUUGAUCAAAAUCUCUGAAACUAUAAGCCAAAGUAAAUAAUUACUUCAAGUCUUUUUUACUCAGUUAUUGGUCACAGUGACAACAGUGUGGCAAAGUUUCGCCCUUUAUAAACUAGAAGUAAAUCAGAAUUUACAUUCCAGGAAUUGUAAGAAUCACAUGGGUCAAAUUUCUCGUCUACUUUUUAUGUACUGGAGCCCAGUGGGAAUCAUGCAUGUCAGCUGUUAUUCUUCUUUCUCUUUUCUCCUUGAGCAAAGGAUUUCAAAAAGUGUUAAUUGGGCUGGAGCCACUGUCACCGAGCCUAACCCAUGCUGCUGCUGCUCACCCAUCACCCCUCUCUCCACCCCUCCCACCCUGAUUGUGCACUAGUGGUCUUAAAAUAUUCAAAGUCCAAGAUGGCAACCCUCAAGGACCAGCUGAUUGUGAAUCUUUUUAAGGAAGAACAGGUCCCCCAGAACAAGAUUACAGUUGUUGGGAUUGGUGGCAUUGGCAUGGCUUGUGCCAUCAGUAUCUUAAUGAAGGACUUGGCAGAUAAGCUUGCCCUUGUUGACGUCACAGAAGACAAACUAAAGGAAGAGAUGAUGGAUCUCCAGCAUGGCAGCCCUUUCCUUAAAAACAACAAAAAUUGUCUCCAGCAAAGACUACUGUGUAACUGCGAACUCCAAGCUGGUCACCAUCACAGGGAGGCCCGUCAGCAAGAGGGAGAGAGCCGACUCAACCUGGUCCAGCGAAAUGUGAACAUCUUCAAGUUCAUCAUUCCAAACAUUGUGAAGUACAGUUCACACUGCAAGCUGCUGAUUGUCUCAAAUCCAGUGGAUAUCUUGACCGACGUGGCUUGGAAAAUCAGUGGCUUUUCCAAAAGCUGAGUUAUUGGAAGUGGUUGCAAUCUGGAUUCAGCUCAGUUCCUUUACCUCAUGGGAGAACGGCUGGGGGUUCACCCAGUGAGCUGUCACAGGUGCAUCCUGGGAGAACAUGGCGACUCCAGUGUGCCUGUGUGUAGUGGUGUGAACAUUGCCAGUGUUUCCCUGAAGUAUCUGAGCCCAGAACUGAUGCAGAGAAGGAGCAGUGGAAGGAGGUUCACAAGCAGGUGGUGGACAGUGUGUAAGAGGUGAUCAAGCUGAAAGGCUACACAUCCUGGGCCACUGACCUCUCUGUGGCAGACUUGGCUGAGAGCAUAAUGAAGAACCUUAGAUGGGUGCAUCCCAUUUCCACCAUGAUUAAGGGUCUCUAUGGAAUCAAUGAUGAUGUCUUCCUCAGUGUCUCAUGUAUCCUGGGACAAAAUGGAAUCUCAGAUGUUGUGAAGGUGACACUGACUCCCGAGGAAGAGGCCGGCCUGAAGAAGAGUGCAGAUACCCUCUGGGGAAUCCAGAAGGAGCUGCAGUUCUAAAGUCUUCUCCGUGUCCUAGCACUUUACCAUCCAGGCUGUAGCAGGGUUUCUAGGGAGGCCAUACCCUUCUCAUCUGAGCUGUGGUUAGUACAGUGGUGUUGAUGUGGUGUGGGGAAACAUCUCACUCCCCACAGCUCUGCCCUGCUGCCAAGUAGUAGUUGUGUAGUGGUAACCUGGUUAGUGUGACAGUCCCACUGUCUCAGAGUCACUCGGCCUACUGUUCAGGCUUCCAUUACCAUGUGUGCUACAUUGCUGCCUUUCACACCCUCACCAAACAUGCCUAGGCCAACGAGUUCCCAGUUAGUCAUAACCUGGCUCCAGUGUGUAAGUCCAUUAUGCAUAUCUUAUGCAUAAAUGUUCUACGGGAUAUUUUAUGUAUUAUAUGUGCCUGUAGUGUACAUUGCAAUAUUAUGUGAAAUGUAAGAUCUGCAUAUGGAUGAAGGAACCAACCACUCAAGUGUCAUGCCAAUGAAAACACCAAAUAAACCUUGAACAGUG